GCGUUAAUCGGAAUUACUGGGCGUAAAGCGUGCGCAGGCGGUUGUGCAAGACAGUUGUGAAAUCCCCGGGCUUAACCUGGGAAUUGCAUCUGUGACUGCACGGCUAGAGUGUGUCAGAGGGGGGUAGAAUUCCACGUGUAGCAGUGAAAUGCGUAGAUAUGUGGAGGAAUACCGAUGGCGAAGGCAGCCCCCUGGGAUAACACUGACGCUCAUGCACGAAAGCGUG
rnacentral:rRNA from 1 species